rnacentral:sRNA from 1 species
UAUCUGAUGGUCCUCUGACUGAUGCGGC